UGUGUCUGUGUGUAUGGACUCAGCACUGUGUGUGUAUGGACUCGGCAGUCUGUCUGUGUGUAUGGACUCAGCAGUGUGUGUAUGGACUCAGCAGUCUGUCUGUGUGUAUGGACUCAGCAGUCUGUAUGUGUGUAUUGACUCAGCAGUCUGUGUGUAUGGACUCAGCAGUCUGUAUGUGUGUAUGGACUCAGCAGUCUGUCUG